GAUGAACGCUGGCGGCGUGCUUAACACAUGCAAGUCGAACGGAGAGCUAUUGACGGAGUUUUUCGGACAACAGAUAUAGUUACUUAGUGGCGAACGGGUGAGUAACGCGUGAGGAACCUGCCUUUCAGUGGGGGACAACAGUUGGAAACGACUGCUAAUACCGCAUAAUGCAUUUAGGGGGCAUCCCCUGAAUGCCAAAGCUUUAUGUGCUGAAAGAUGGUCUCGCGUCUGAUUAGCUAGUUGGUGGGGUAACGGCCCUCCAAGGCGACGAUCAGUAGCCGGCCUGAGAGGGUGAACGGCCACAUUGGGACUGAGACACGGCCCAA
rnacentral:rRNA from 1 species